UGGUGGGGUAAAGGCCUACCAAGACCAUGAUACGUAGCCGACCUGAGAGGGUGAUCGGCCACACUGGGACUGAGACACGGCCCAGACUCCUACGGGAGGCAGCAGUAGGGAAUCUUCCACAAUGGGUGAAAACCUGAUGGAGCAAUGCCGCGUGAAUGAAGAAGGUCUUCGGAUCGUAAAGUUCUGUUAUUAGAGAAGAACAAGUCAAGGAGUAACUGUCUUGACUUUGACGGUACCUAACCAGAAAGUCACGGCUAACUACGUGCCAGCAGCCGCGGUAAUACGUAGGUGACAAGCGUUGUCCGGAAUUAUUGGGCGUAAAGGGAGCGCAGGCGGUUGGAAUAGUCUGAUGUGAAAGCCCACGGCUUAACCGUGGAAGGUCAUUGGAAACUGUCCAACUUGAAUACAGAAGAGGUAAGUGGAAUUCCAAGUGUAGCGGUGAAAUGCGUAGAUAUUUGGAGGAACACCAGUGGCGAAGGCGACUUACUGGUCUGUAAUUGACGCUGAGGCUCGAAAGCGUGGGUAGCAAACAGGAUUAGAUACCCUGGUAGUCCACGCCGUAAACGAUGAGUGCUAAGUGUUAGGGGGUUUCCGCCCCUUAGUGCUGGAGUUAA
rnacentral:rRNA from 1 species